rnacentral:rRNA from 1 species
UACAGAGACUGCGAGCGUUAUUCGGAUUCACUAGGCGUAAAGGGUGCGCAGGCGGCCGAGUGUGUGAGGCGUGAAAGCCCGGGGCUUAACCCCGGAAUUGCACCUCAAACUACACGGCUAGAGCAUUGGAGAGGGUAGCAGAAUUCACGGUGUAGCAGUGAAAUGCGUAGAUAUCGUGAGGAAUACCAGAGGCGAAGGCGGCUACCUGGACAAUUGCUGACGCUCAGGCACGAAAAGCGUGGGGGAGCAAAA